rnacentral:rRNA from 1 species
UUUCAACGGCCGCGGUAUUCUAACCGUGCAAAGGUAGCGUAAUCAUUUGUCUUCCAAAUAAAGACCAGUAUGAAUGGCUAAAUGAGGAUAAACCUGUCUCCUGCAACCUAUCAAUGAAACUGAUCUUCCAGUCCAAAAGCUGGAAUAGCAACAUAAGACGAGAAGACCCUGUGGAGCUUAAAGUACAUUACUAAUAAGACAAGUCCAACUAGUAACAACUUUAAGUUGGGGCGACUUCGGAACAAAACAAAACUUCCGAGCACAGAACCACUAAUUCUAACCAAGGCCCACAAGCCUAAGAACAAAAUUGACCCAGUCAUACUGAUCAACGAACCAAGUUACCCCAGGGAUAACAGCGCUAUCUUCUUCAAGAGUCCAUAUCGACAAGAAGGUUUACGACCUCGAUGUUGGAUCAGGACACCCAAAUGGUGCAGCCGCUAUUAAAGGUUCGUUUGUUCAACGAUUAACAGUCCU